rnacentral:rRNA from 1 species
AUUGAACGCUGGCGGCAGGCCUAACACAUGCAAGUCGAGCGAGCGGCGGACGGGUGAGAAAUGUAUGGGGACUGCCCGAUAGAGGGGGAUAACUACUGUAAACGGUAGCUAAUAUCGCAUACUAUCGGAUCAUCCAUAUGGGAUUAGCUAGUAGGUGAGGUAAUGGCUCACCUAGGCGACGAUCCCUAGCUGGUCUGAGAGGAUGAUCAGCAACACGGUGACACAGACACGGCCCAGACUCCUACGGAGGCAGCAGUGGGGAAUAGUGCACAAUGGGCGCAAGCCUGAUGCAGCCAUGCCGCUUGUAUGAAGAAGGCCCUAGGGUUGUAAAGUACUUUCAGUCGGGAGGCGUUACCGACAGAAGAAGCACCGGCUAACUCCGUGCCAGCAGCCGCGGUAAUUC